rnacentral:misc_RNA from 1 species
CAUGGGAGUUGGUUUUACCUGAAGACGGUGCGCUAACCCGCAAGGGAGGCAGCCGGCCACGGUAGGGUCAGCGACUGGGGUGAAGUCGUAACAAGGUAGCCGUAGGGGAACCUGCGGCUGGAUCACCUCCUUUCUAAGGAUGAUCCUUCAGCGAGCUCACGCUCACUAUCGGAUCGUUUUAGAAACAUCAGUGGCCAACAGAUCGCCAGAUCGUUGAGCUGCAUUGGCGGGAUUUCGCCGUCUUCGUUUCUCUUUCUUCGCGGACGAACACGCGCUGGGCCUGCAUCAAGCAGGAUCCCACGGUCCCUGACGGGAUAUGCGUUAGGGGCUUGUAGCUCAGUUGGUUAGAGCGCGCGCUUGAUAAGCGUGAGGUCGGAAGUUCAAGUCUUCCCAGGCCCACCACUUUCAUCGAGUGAGCAUUCGUCUUCUGGUUACGGGGCCAUAGCUCAGCUGGGAGAGCGCGUGCUUUGCAAGCAUGAGGUCGUCGGUUCGAUCCCGUCUGGCUCCACCACGCUUCGCCUUUCAGGCUUCGCGUGGCGCAGCCAAGCACGGUCGAAGCGUGCCCGGCGUAGCUCACUUGAGCGUAGACGGGCUGGUUGAGAUCAGCCCGUAACCAUCACCGUCCGCGAAACAUCACUUCGCAUCCUGCUAGUCUGGAUAGACAGCAAGAUGCGUGUUUUCUGACAUCGUAAAGAGGAGAUCGAUCCGAGUUGGGUCGUGCAGCAGAUUGUUGCGCGAAUCCUUCAUUAUCUCCGGAUCAUUUUCGGCGCUCGCUUUCAGCCGUGAGGUUGAAUGCGAGUUGUAAAAUGAUCCUUUUAGCGAAGCUUGACCGCCUCGCUAUCGGAACGAUCUUACGAAGCAAGCUGGUCUUUCUAGUCAAUGUCCGGCUGCACGUAGCAUUCAUCGAGGGUGCGCGCCGUAAGGCAAUCGUGCAGACAACAUUCUGCCGAGUGUGUGGACAUUGAUAAUGAGAGCAAUCAAGUGCCUUAAGGGUGUUCGGUGGAUGCCUUGGCGCUGAAAGGCGAUGAAGGACGUGCU